GACUCCAACAAUCCCAAGCGCCCCCCUGAGUGCUGUCUUAGUCCUCAUGGACAACUUCAGGAACGUCUCCAACAUCAAGCAGGUCUCCAUGGUUUGCAAGGUCGGUGGUGAGAAGUGGAAGUAUCUUGAGUGAUGUUGGGGACGUGACAAGCUAAGCAGCAGCAAGGGGAGGGGGUCUCUGAAAUGUCGCCGCUGUUGCUCAUUGCUAGUAUCACCGAUUGAUGAUGGAUGGUUGCUGUUAGUUUAGCUCCUUGGUAGUACCUCCUUGUCUUUCUGGCGGCUGCUGCCGCUGCUGGUAGAAAUGGUAGCUACAGUCCUAUGUACUUCAUGUGCUCGGAU